CCUACGGGUGGCAGCAGUGAGGAAUAUUGGUCAAUGGUCGCGAGACUGAACCAGCCAAGCAGCGUGAGGGAUGACUGUACAGAGUAUCGUAAACCUCUUUUGUCAGGGAACAAAGGCGGGGACGUGUCCCCGGAUGAGUGUACCUGAAGAAAAAGCAUCGGCUAACUCCGUGCCAGCAGCCGCGGUAAUACGGAGGAUGCGAGCGUUAUCCGGAUUUAUUGGGUUUAAAGGGUGCGCAGGCCGGCUGUUAAGUCAGUGGUGAAAGGCCGGGGCUCAACCCCCGCCACGCAGUUGAUCCUGGCAGUCUCGAGUAGGAGAGAAGUAUGCGGAAUGCGCGGUGUAGCGGUGAAAUGCAUAGAUAUCGCGCAGAACUCCGAUUGCGAAGGCAGCAUGCCGGCUCCACACUGACGCUGAGGCACGAAAGCGUGGGUAUCGAACAGGAUUAGAUACCCCUGUAGUC
rnacentral:rRNA from 1 species